rnacentral:rRNA from 1 species
GCAGUCGAGCGAACGGAUAAGGAGCUUGCUCCUUUGAAGUUAGCGGCGGACGGGUGAGUAACACGUGGGUAACCUACCUAUAAGACUGGAAUAACUUCGGGAAACCGGAGCUAAUGCCGGAUAACAUUUGGAACCGCAUGGUUCUAAAGUAAAAGAUGGUUUUGCUAUCACUUAUAGAUGGACCCGCGCCGUAUUAGCUAGUUGGUAAGGUAACGGCUUACCAAGGCAACGAUACGUAGCCGACCUGAGAGGGUGAUCGGCCACACUGGAACUGAGACACGGUCCAGACUCCUACGGGAGGCAGCAGUAGGGAAUCUUCCGCAAUGGACGAAAGUCUGACGGAGCAACGCCGCGUGAGUGAUGAAGGUUUUCGGAUCGUAAAACUCUGUUAUUAGGGAAGAACAAAUGUGUAAGUAACUGUGCACAUCUUGACGGUACCUAAUCAGAAAGCCACGGCUAACUACGUGCCAGCAGCCGCGGUAAUACGU